CCGACAGGCCGCGCGCCGGGAGCGCCGGGCCGCAGCCUCGCGCCGGUUCCUGCCCUCGGGCAUCGUCCCUUCCCGUCCCGCCGGGCCCGCGCCCGCCCCCGCCAUGCGCCACAGCCUCACGCAGCUGCUGGCGGCCUCGGCCGGCGGGACCAGCCCCUCGGGUGCCGUGUGGCCGCUGCCCGGAGCGGGGCAGGCCCCGAGAGGGCGGGAUGUCGGCGGGGAGGGGGACCCGGGCCCCGCGCGGCCCAAGCCCCCGGGCGCCUCGGAGCCGCGGCGGCAGGAGAAGGAGGCCGAGGCGCCCAGCGGCCCGCUGGAGGUGUGGGAGCAAGAGGACUGGUUCCCGGGGCUGGAGCUGGGAGACCUGCUGGAGGCGGCCCGGCCGGACUGGGACCUGGAGGCGGAGCUGAGCGGCUGUUUCUGUGAGGAGCCGGAGCCGCUGCCCCCGCCGGGCCAGAGCUCGCGGCCAGCGGUGCCCGGGCGGCGGAGCGGCGGGGCCGGCAGCCGGCUGAAGGCGGCGGCGGCGGCGCGGCUGAACCGGCUGAAGAAGAAGCAGUACGUGCUAGGGCUGGAGAGCCGCCUGCAGGGCCUGGCUGCCGAGAACCGGCAGUUGCGGGACCGCAACCGCGGCCUGAGCCGCCGCCUGCGAGAGCUGGAGCGGGAGAGCAGCUACCUGCGGGCCGUGCUGGCGAACCAGAGCGCGCUGGGGCAGCUCCUGAGCCGCCUGGCCGGGACCCGCGCCGGCGGGCUGCAGCUCAGCACCAGCCUCUUCAGGGACACGGGCAGCCCCCGCCGCCAGCACCAGCACCUCCAGCCCGCUGGCGAGAGCAGCGACCACGACUACGCCCUGCCCAGCUCCCAGCCCCGCGGCCUGGAGGAGGCGGCCGUGGGGACUGAGGCGGAGGAGGAGUGGGCGGCCCCCGGCGGGAUCUGCCUGCACGUGGACCGGGAUCAGGUGUCGGUGGAGUUCUGCUCCAUCUGUGCUCGGCGGGCGGCGGCCUCCUUCAAAAUGUAGGGUCAAGUACCUGCUGCAAGUACUCGUGGGGUUCUCACCCCUAAGGGCCUCGCGUCGCGGCGGAGGAAACAGGCGAUGUUUCUCUUUUAGGUGCUUGCCCUGCCAGGCUCCGUUGUGUAGGGGUUAAAGAACAGUCGUUUUCCACCUCGCAACCUGUGGAUUCAGCUGUGUUGGGGCAGAAGAGACGGGACCAGCUGCUGGCCACAUUUCCUGCUUUAUUUUAAAAGGUAGUAUAAGAAAUGAGAAUAAAGAGGUAACAGGGCUUUUGCUGUCUUUGGUUAAAAAGAAAAAAAGUUGAAUGCUGGGAUCAUUUACUGUCAUUCAAGCUUUAUUUUUUUUUUAAAGGCAAUAUCCUAUCAAACAGGUUUUACUCCAUUGUAUGUAGAAUUCCAUCUGUUCAGGGUAUACUGCCAGCACAAAAGAGAGUGGGAUAUGUGUUACCUUACACCUCUGUGGUGGAUCAGCAGGGCUGUUCAAAGUUUCAGUCUUAAAUUGGGUAACUGCUGUAACUGAUGGGUUAUACCCGUGCCACAGGAGUCAGAGUUAACCACCAGGACCUGCACUGACUGAUAUGCAAAAUGGAAAUAAUUUAGAUUCAACCUAGGCUCAACCUGCCUAGCUCAGACUUCAUGAACAUGCUUUGUUCUGCAGUUUAUUGAAAACAGAAAAACAUUAAUGUAGUAUAGGAUGUUACAGUGGCAUUUUCACAGUUACUUCAGUCUAGAAGUGGUUUUUAAGUUAAAUAUGCAUUCUUUCUUGUCGCAUCACUGCUAAAUGGCAGGGUCAGGGACUCAGUUCUUCUGGUCUCUGUGUGAACCUGCACAUUGCUCUGUCGUGACACGACCUGUGAGCUGUGUCUGAGAGCAGCUGAUUUUCUGACAUGCAAAAUGAUGUAUUUUGGUAUAAGGACAAGGUUAAGUCCCAAGAAAGUCAGUGGCUGCAGGCAUUUGUAGUGCCUACUGAAUCAUAUUUAAACCAAAUAGUGGGGAGGAAGCUAUUUGAAACUCUUGACUGUACUAUCUGUAUGGUGUAGUAUUAAUGUAGCUUUUUGAAGUGAAAGCCUUGAAAUGAAAAAACUUAAUACUUGAAAAUAUAUUGUAAAUGUUUCCUUGUAAUUAUGUGCCAUCCAGAUAAGAAUGCAAUAUCAUAAUAAAAUCAGACUUGUUGAUCUUUCA